rnacentral:rRNA from 1 species
UAGGGAAUCUUCCACAAUGGGCGCAAGCCUGAUGGAGCAACACCGCGUGAGUGAAGAAGGGCUUCGGCUCGUAAAGCUCUGUUGUUGGAGAAGAACGUGCGUGAGAGUAACUGUUCACGCAGUGACGGUAUCCAACCAGAAAGUCACGGCUAACUACGUGCCAG